GUUCCCGAUAAGAGGCUGUGAAGAUGGAGACAAUCUUGAUCCUUCGACCGUUACCGAUUCUAAUCUGCGCGCAAUGUCAAUAACAGCUUCAAGUCAGAGAACAAGAUUUUCCAUCAAACUGAGGUAUCAAAUUCUUCACUAAAGAGAGACGAAGAUAUGACUCUGGAAGCGUACUAGAUGACUCUAUAGAGAUUGGAGUAUUUUUAGAAACAGCAGCAGCAACCACAGUUGAGGACAAAGAUCGGUAGUUGAUGCCCCGGGAGAUGAAGAAGAUUCUGCAUUUGAUGAAUUUAUGUUUAAUUCCUCUACCAGAAAUGUAUUUUCCCGCAGGCCGAUUUUGCGACUCCUUUUGGCGCGCAUGUACUUUAACUUAUACGGCGGCAUUUUGUCAAAUUAUUUCUAACGGUAAUUAUAAAAAUAAUACUCUAUAGUCCAAUUACUUAUAAGAUAGACUUACAGUUUGGUAAGGCGAUCGGCUAACGCUUCGCAAUAAAUCAC